rnacentral:SRP_RNA from 1 species
AAGUGAGCAGCGACACAGUUGACGACUGGCGCUCGGCCGCGCGCAGCGUGGGGA